GCCAUAUCAGCUUGAAACACCAGUUCUCGUAAGAUCAUUGAAGUUAAGCAAUGCCGAGUCGGUUCUGUACGUUGAUUGGUCACCGCUUGAGAAUACCAGGCUUUGUAA